UGACGUCAAAUCAUCAUGCCCCUUAUGCUUAGGGCUACACACGUGCUACAAUGGGUAGUACAGAGGGUUGCCAAGCCGUAAGGUGGAGCUAAUCCCUUAAAGCUACUCUUAGUUCGGAUUGUAGGCUGAAACUCGCCUACAUGAAGCUGGAGUUACUAGUAAUCGCAGAUCAGAAUGCUGCGGUGAAUGCGUUCCCGGGUCUUGUACAC
rnacentral:rRNA from 1 species